GGCUAAUGUUAUACCACCCUAAUUUCCAACGUUGACAACAAAGAAAUAUAGAAAUACAAAUCAUCCACCAUGUUGGUACCAAGUGGGUUUGAGAUGAUGUUGUCCUUUAUUGCGCUCUUUGAGUUGUUGGAUGAUAUAGUCUCUCCAUUUCCAGUUGGUGGUCAUGCUUGGCUCAAAGAGCUGAGUGGCAACAUCGUUUUGGAAGAGUGGCUGGUUUUUCCUCUCACCGCCGGCGCUGUGCAGAAGGGUGGCCAC
rnacentral:misc_RNA from 1 species